rnacentral:rRNA from 1 species
AUCUACGGCCAUGCCACCCUGAACACGCCCGAUCUCAUCUGAUCUCAGAAGCUAAGGAUGGUUGGGCCUGGUUAGUUCUUGGAUGGGAGACCACCUAGGAAGACCAGGUGCCGUAGGUG